GCAGCAGCCGCGGGAAUACGAAGGGGGCUAGCGUUACUCGGAAUUACUGGGCGUAAAGGGCGCGUAGGCGGCGCACCAAGUUAGGCGUGAAAGUCCUGGGCUCAACCUGGGGACUGCGCUUAAGACUGGAGUGCUUGAGGAUGGAAGAGGGUUGUGGAAUUCCCAGUGUAGAGGUGAAAUUCGUAGAUAUUGGGAAGAACACCGGUGGCGAAGGCGGCAACCUGGUCCAUUACUGACGCUGAGGCGCGAUAGCGUGGGGAGCAAACAGGAUUAGAUACCCCAGUAGUCCCUGUCUCUUAUAC
rnacentral:rRNA from 1 species